rnacentral:lncRNA from 1 species
GCCUGGCAUUCCUAGUACUUGAGUUGUACUUCAUUUUAUCAGCCUUGAAGACGAGAGGCUCUAAGGCAAUCUCUAGGAUUUGAGCUUUGAGAUGAAAUACCGCAAGGUAGUUUGACCCAUGUCUCAACGAUUCUGCAUAUCUACCACCCUGUUUUUUUCUAACCUAGGCACAAGACCAGAAAGUUUGUCGGGUUAUUGUUGUUGUUGGCGGUGGUGGUGGUGGUGGUGGUGGUAGGGAAGAUCAAUCCGAAACAUCGACCAAAUUAUUAUUGAUUUCUUUCAAUUGUACCAUAGGAAAAGAAAAGUUAAGUUGAAUUCGACGCCAUUUGCACUUUGAACUUUGGACUUGAAGAAGCGCAAGAAACACUGCCAGAUAAUAUGACAAAUCUACCAAUUCAACUAGUAAGAACUGAAAAGUUGUACAGCUGCUGCUACUACUACUACUACUACUACUAUUUGGUACAAGUCAACACCCAUUGAUUCCGUGAUAGUAUUAUCACCUUUGAUCGCUAGCCACUAGUCUUCUAUACAAUGCCAUAGUGGAAAUACCUAUUUCUUUAUUACCCACAAGGGCCUAAACACAGAGAGGACAAACAAGGACAGACAUAGGUAUUAAGUCGAUUACAUCGACCCCAGUGCGUAACUGGUACUUAAUUUAUCGACCCCGAAAGGAUGAAAGGCAAAGUCGACCUCGGCGGAAUUCGAACUCACAACGUAACGCAGACGAAAUACCGCUAAGCAUUUCGCCCGGCGUGCUAACGUUUCUGCCAGCUCGCCGCCUUAAAUACCACCGAUCGCAUUCCUCACUGGCAGUGAGUUAUGGGCGCCUGGCGACUAUCUCGGCGCAACAUGUUAACGCUUGUACGAAUAUUGCUGCUCUGUCAAAGAAAUGAGCUGUGGAAAAGAGAAAGUGACAAACGGCUUGUACACCUGCUUACCACCAAGUAAACGUUGAUGGUGUUGCAGAUUUAGGUCAUGUUUAUACAUCAUCAACCGCGGUAAGUAUAGCUCUUUACUCAGCAGGCAUUGACAGCAAACGGACCCCCUGAUUAGUGGAACGCGUCUCUCCCAAACAACGAGGAAAGCUACAAUUCUAGUCCUGUGUGAUGGAAACGAGACUAGUUACGGUAGUAAAGCAAUAACAUAUGACAUUGAUAUUAGCAGUUAUAUAUCCAUUACUGAAUUUCAUUGCCUUCUGGAGAACGUAUUUGAAAACCUGGGCUAAAAUUGCACGAUGUGGAGCCAGGUAAAUUUGUAUUAAGGAUAAUGGCUAUGUUUUUAAAUCAUUCAAUGAUUUUGCUGCCAUGUAUUUGUUGUAAAGUAUCAGUAACAACUGUUACUGAUACCGAUGUAUACAUUUCAAUGAUUGCAAAGAAAUCAUUGCUUUUUGACGAUAAUAUCUGCUGAGUGAAAAAGAAAGGAGAUGAAUUAUUCGAUGUCACCUUGAGAAGCUAUCACGGAACGAGGUUGGCCUCCGAGUCUUACAUGUCCUUGAAAAUGAAAUACUAGACUCCAGUAUAUAGGACCGGUGGUCUAGGAUAAGCAGUAGAUAAGAUUCGCUACACUAUGGGUAAGAAAAAAAAAUUAAAAGUUUUAAUCAACUCAAGUUCAAAUCUAUAAUUAGCGAUACACUGAAAGAACUUAAUUUCUUAAAUAUUUAUAUGAAUCUUAAUAUAGGCGAAUAUAAACAUUUUUAUAAACCAAAUGAGGAUACCUCAUACAUCGACAAAGGUUAUAAUCAUCCACCAUCAAUAACUAGACAAUUAAUUGGUUCGUGGGUGUCCAACAUUCCUCUGUUGAAGCAAUCUGAUAAAUGACAGUUUCAUAUUUCCUUGUGGCAUUAAAAAGAUCCAAUUUUAAGAACAAUACAGCUGAUAUGGAACCAAAUGUAGAUAGGCAAAAUGAGGAAUCAUAGUAAAAAAUUGUGAUAUAAUCCUCUCUACAGCAUCAAUGUGAAUACAAACGCAGCUGAACGAUGUCUGAAACUUAGGAUAACCACUUGCUUCAUACACAUAAAAAUCACAAGAUUUUUAAUAGAAACACGGUUUAAAGUAGCUAUGGCCGGCAGGAUGUAUAAAAUACUCCUAAAUAAACUGGAGUAUAAUAGAUAAGGGCUGCAAAUAUAAAGGAUGAGGCCGCAGACACAAUUUCUAUAUCAAAUAGAUAUUAAACAUAAAUAAUUCACAGGCAAAAAAUGUAAACAUCAGGGAAGAAACCUCCAUUUCAUGCGCUAAAUCAAUUUGAACUACAAAAUUUCAAGCAUGAAAUCACGUCGAACUUACUACCUAUAUAUAUAUAUAUAUAUAUAUAUAUAUAUAUAUAUAUAUGUGUGUGUGUGUGUGUGUGUGUGUGUGUGUGUGUGUGUGUGUGUGAGAGAGAGAGAGAGAGAGAGAGAGAGAGAGAGAGAGAGAGAGAGAGAGAGAAAGUACAAAGAAUUAGGUUGGACAUUAAACCGACCUGAACAACCAAGUUGGACGAAUGGGCUUUCUUAAACCACGGCAUCGUCUAAAAAUAUAUAUUCAAAUCAGAUAACAUAUUCAAAUCACACAAAAUAUAUUCAAAUGAUAACCCUCCGAUAUUACAGGAGACAUUCAAUAAUGUAAUGCUGGUUCCCUUUGUUUGAAAAGUAACCAGAGGGUCGUGAUUGGAAUAUUUUAGAAAACAGUGGUACACACUAAACAGUUUGAAACAACAUUCUAAAAAUGAACCUGAUAUUCCAAAUCAGUGGAAAUGAAGACGAAGAUGAUGAUAAUAAUGUGAACAGUCGUGAACCAGUUACAAGAGCUGAUUCUGAUGUUGACAUGUGACGCAUUAAUGUCCUUAAUUCUCGUAUUGAUAGGGUUAUGCCUAGGGAAUUGUCUAUCUACAGCGACAGAAUUACACAGUAAAAAGCACUGCUGUGCUUCUCUUAUUGAUCAGUGACAAGAAAAUGUCUUUAGCGAAGUCUUGAAAUAUCCUUUCUUUUCGUUUCGGCCCUAUUACAAUUUAGAUGAAUAUAGCAGAUAACAUAAACCUCAAUAUAAUAAGAGAGCGAUGAAGAAAAAGAUUGUUUUAGUUUGAUUGCUGGUCAAGCGGUUUAACAUAGAUAGAAAUAUAAUAUGUUCCUAUGUAAAGGGCAUCAGAAAAAAAAGAUAACAUUCAUGACACAAUUACAUUAGCAGAUAUUGCUGUAAGGACGAAAUAGAAGUUAGUCAUUGAUAACACGAACAAUGUUAGUAAUAUUAAUUAAUAGUGAGAAACAUGAGGACUAAUAUAAGCACGACUAAAAAUAGCUCGGUAGGUAUGAUAAGCGAGUCGUAAUUAGACAACACAUAAAUACUGCACGUAUAGAAGAUAAAAAGUAAUCGAUAUGUGUAUGUAAAUGUGUAUAUAUGGAUGUAUGUAGGUCUGUAUGUAACAUGUAUGAUUCCAUGCAUGUCUGCAUAAUUAUGUAUAUAUAUAUAUAUAUAUAUAUAUAUAUAUAUAUAUAUAUAUAUAUAUAUAUAUAUAUAUAUAUAUAUAUAUAUAUAUAUACACACAUUCAUGUGUGUAUGUGUGUCUAUAUGUGUGUGAGUGUGUACGUGUGUGUCUAGUUUACUUUUUCGUUAAGGUAAGAAGAAAAGUACUCCAUACAAUGACAGAUAAAUGUUAUUUAAUGUACACAGUAUGCACUUAUGAACUACUGGUAGUUUCAUGCAUGGGAGAUGUAGUCUAGGCAAAAUUGAAUAACAAAGAAUCGCAUAGUCGAUGCGCUCAAACCGAGUGUUUGGAGACACUAAGGGUGUUACUGAAACUUGCCUACAAUAUAUCUUUCAUUUAUAAACUAUUAGAAGUGCGUAACGGUAUACUGUAUGUCUUCACACAUACACACACACACACAUCUAUAUCUAUCUAUCUAUCUAUCUAUCUAUCUAUCUAUCUAUCUAUCUAUCUAUCUAUCUAUCUAUCUAUCUAUCUAUCUAUCUAUCUAUAUAUAUAUAUAUAUAUAUAUAUAUAUAUAUAUAUAUAUAUAUAUUGGUAAAAACGGUAAGAUAACAAAAGAAAGAAAGAGACCUCAAUAUUAUGUAAAUAGAGGAAAUUUUUCUAUAAAAUAAUGUUACAAUUACUCAAUAUUUAAGAUAAAACUCAGAGUUUUAUCUUGACUAUUGAGUAAUUGUAACAUAUUAUCUUAUAUAUAUAUGUAUAUGUGUAUAUAUAUAUAUAUAUAUAUAUAUAUAUAUAUAUAUAUAUAUAUAUAUAUAUAUAAUAUAACCCCCAAAAAACGAAGAAGAAACACAAAAUAACAACACGAGAACAUGGUUACUGUAAAGCCUUAACAGACGCUCAGGGAAGGAAAGAAAGGUGAAUCAACGUUUCGAGCAAAGCCCUUCUUCAGAAACAGAGCGAGGUCCAAUGGGAAUGGGAGACGGAGGAAAAAAAAACCGCCAACGUUUCAUAUGUGGUCACAUUUACGCAUAAAUAUAUAUAUAUAUAUAUAUAUGUAUAUACGCACAAUUUUUAUUUGUUUUAUUUGUGGAUUAAAAAUUCUACUACUGGCUUCAUGCCAAGAGAAAUUUCUCAACAAGUACCAAGCCUGCUGCAUGGAACGAUGUUACAUAUCUUCAUCUUGGAUAAGAAUGUGCGAAGCUACGCAAGUCUGUAUGGGAUUUUUGAAUAAAUAAUUAAAUACACAGAUCAUGGGAAGUAAAGUCUAGGCACCAAUUCCUAUUUAGAAAUUUCAAAAUUGACCACAACACCACCACCACCACCACCGCCACUUUGCUAUCCAUCCAACCUAGAGAAAUGUUUUUUUUACUCUUGAUAUGAAUCACAUGGAUUACAUGAACGUUAUCCAUAAAAGAAAAAUGUUCCUAUAAACUUAUAUUGGAUGACUUCAAAGCACAGAUAUACGAGCAUUGCAGAUAUUCAUGACAUCCCGAUUUAGGGAAUAAAAGCUCACACAAUCUUCCGUGAAUUUACAACUUCGUGGACCAUGGUAGGCAUCAAAUAAGGCAAACCUUGAAUAUUAUGGGCAUAUAUUCAAACACGAACAAAACACAGUGUAGAUAUAUGGAAUGUAUGUGUUUAUGUAUAUAUGUAUAUAUGUAUGUGUAUAUGAAUGUUCAUUUAUAUAUAUAUAUAUAGAUAGAUAGAUAUAGAUAUAUAUAUAUGUGUGUGUGUGUGUAUACGUAUAGAAUAUAUAUGUACAUGUAUAUACAUAUAUAUAUAUAUAUAUAUAUAUAUACACGCAUAAUGGUAUGUAUGUUCAUGUGUAAAUGUUUUUUGUUCAGUGUUUGUCUGUGAGUGUGUGUUAGCGUGUGCGCAUAUUUUACAUGGAUGUGCGUGUGCACCUACAAAUGCACUUAUUGUUUAAUUUAUAAAUUUCAACGUGCAUGAACAUUCCCAUUUGAAAUGAUUAGGGAAUUUAUCAACUCAUGAUGAACGUAAGUCUUAGUUCAAAUCAACUUAGCUGAUAGUGAAAGUGUCUUCUUACAAGGAUUGUUGUCUUAAUACCAGUGAGACAGCGAGCAGAAUUUUCUUAUCCUCAAAUCUCGUACAACCUCGUAUAGCUUGGCGUAUUCUCAUCCAAGAUUCAGACAAGCACCAUCAUUUUAUGUGGCAGGGGAUAAAUUUGUCUGCAUGAAACCAGUGGUAGCCUUGUUAACCCACAAAUAAAUAAUACUUAUCCAUCAAUGCUGUGGCAAUUACUCAUUCUUAGUUUGACUCAGCGCCAAACGACUUAUUGUUUGUGGCGUGAAAGACGUGAAAUAUAAAUCCAUAUCAUUAGAUUUCGAAAGAGAAAUAACCGCUUUGAGAGAAAUUCCCGGUGGCUUCUAUAUACAUGCCAGCUCAAGUUGUUUGGCAUUAAUGUUAUGGAGGCCAUAUAUAUGGAAGCCUUCUCGAAUUUGUCUCAAGUCCUUUCAUUUUCUUCCGAAAUCUGAUUAGAUGGGUUUUUCUUACGCACCGACGCAUCUUUAGGCAUAUGGACCUGUCUCAAACUGUUAUUAAAUUUAUAUAUGUAAUUCCUACGGAAUGUAUUCGGUGCCAUAGUCCUCAUACCAUAUGUACUUCUAAUAUUCGUGCUAGCCUUUUUCAUCUACUAUAACAAAGUAUCUACUAUUCCAAAGACUUUACUUUCAACAUUAGUUGAAAUAGUACUGGAUUCCUUUCGACAAGAAUACAAGCAUUAUGCCUUUAGGUCCAUCACAUUCGCACAAAAAUUUGCAGUUUUGAAACAAUGCAACUGAUCGUUAAUUUCUGACGAAGGUUGCGUUUUGUUUGCUACUUUAAAAUAUGCACAGGUAAGUCUCGAUGAACUUAUAGUGUAUUACUUUGGAAAUAGCUAUAUGUGGAGGCGCAAUGGCCCAGUGGUUAGGGCAGCGGACUCACGGUUUCGAUUCCCAGACCGGGCGUUUUGAGUGUUUACGGAGCUCCACGUGGCUCCGAAAGGGGAUGGUGGCGAUCCCUGCUAUACUCUUUCGCCACAACUUUCUUUCACUCUUUCUUCUAUUGGCCUGCUCGCUUAGCCAGCGGGGUGGCGUCAUUGAAGGCUAAAACAAUGCGCUUCGCAUUGUGACUAGCGAUGUGUAGCAACAUCCGAUAGCCUGGCCGGUCACGGGGAUCACGGUGAUAUAGCUAUAUAGCAGUAAGGAAAUUUUCCACUUAAUUUUCUAUAGAUCAGCAUGGCCACAGCUCAUGAGCUGAAACUAAAAAAUCAAUCAUAUAUGUGCGAAAAUGCGGAUACACAUGCGCGCACAUAUUGUUGUAAGCAGAAUCUUUAGCACGCCGGCCAAAAUGCAUAGCGACAUUUCUUCCGGCUUUACGUUUAGUCAUAGAGUUCUGCCGAUGUCGACUUUGUCUUACAUAUUUUGGGAGGUACCGGGAUCUAUCUGAUCAACUUACCCACUCGACAUUAUCUCAGACCCGGAGUAUAAUUAUUGUUGUAAUAGAAGUAACAGAAUCACCAGCAGCACCGCUGGUAGUAGCAAUGCUUUCUGUUGUUGUAGUAAAGUAAGAAUAAUAUGUUUCCUUUGCCACAUUAGCUCGAUUUAAGAGGGCAUUACAAAUCCUGUUUAUAUAAUGUAUUUAUUAAAAAAAAUCGUAUAUAUGCAACACUAAAAUUUAAAUGAACCUUUGGCCAAAGAAUGUAUUGAAAAGACAUCAUGCGUUAAGUUAUAGGUGAAAAUAUGUUUGUUUUUUAUAUUUUGUGUUUUCAUGAGAAUUCUAAUAGCAAUGAUAAUUAUUAAUAUGAUGCCACUUAUGUCUAUGGCCAUAACUAUUAUGGUGAUGAUGGUGAGCGAGUUAAUCAUGGUGAUUACGACCAUUAUGAUGAUGAUGAUGUUGACUGUAAUAAUGAUUUUGAUGAUGGUGUUGAUGCUGUUGAUGAUGAGGAUCAUGAUCAUGAUGACGACAUCUUCCACAAUUGACCAGAUAAAAUAUGAAUAGACAAUGAUAAAUAUGGCUCUACAUCCUAAAAAGCAUGUGUAGAUCUUGUAGAAGUCGAAGAUUAUAGAGGGAUUCAAGAAACUGUAAUAAAAUUCCAACUAUGAUGACUAAGAGCAACAACAAUAUCACAGAAUCAUAAUUCUAAGACUUUCCGCAUAAGCAAUUGUAUUAGGUUGUCUUUUAUAGGUAGAUGACUUUGUAUAUAUAUAUGUAUAUAUAUAUAUAUGUAAGAUGAAAUGGGGUUAAAGAUCAUAUCAGAUAUCGAUUAAGCACUCAGUAUUAAGGAAUAGAUUAAAUUUCCAACGAUCGGAUACCAGUAAACGUAAGUAGAAUACAGAUCCCAGGUGAAUCCUCAAGGGUGGAUUUGGUGGGCGGAAUCGGAAUUAGGAUUACCUUGCUAAUGUUUUGUUGAUAUAUAUUUUCGUAGAUGUCAUUAAUAAUUUUAAUAAUGUUGUUUAUAUCUAUGUAUGUAUGUAUAUAUAUAUAUAUAUAUAUAUAUAUAUAUAUAUAUAUAUAUAUAUAUAUAUAUAUAUAUAUAUAUAUAUAUAUAUAUAUAUAUAUAUAUAUAUACACAUAUAUAUAUGCAUAUAUAUAUACAUAUAUAUGUGUGUGUGAGUGUGUUUACUCCUUUACCUGUUUCAGUUAUUUUACUGUGGCCAUGCUGGAGCACCACCUUUAGUUGAGCAAAUCAACCCCAGAACUUAUUCUUUGUAAGCAUAGUACUUAUUCUAUCGGACUCUUUUGCUGAACCGGUAAGUUAUAUAAACAUACACUUAUAUACAUAUAUAUAUAUAGGACUAUAUAUGUAUAUAUAUAUAUAUAAAUAUAUAUAUAUAUAUAUGUAUGUAUAUGUAUGUUUAUACAUAUAUGAAUAUAUUUAUAUAUAUAUAUAUAUAUAUAUACACAAUAUAUACACAAGUAUAUAUGUAUAUAUAUUUCUAUAUGUAUAUGUAUAUAUAUAUAUAUAUAUAUAUAUCAUGUAUAUAUGUAUAUCUAUAUAUAUAUAUUCAUGUAUAUAUGUAUCUAUUUUUAUAUGUAUAUAUAUAUAUAUAUAUAUAUAUAUAUAUAUAUAUAUAUAUAUAUAAAUGAAGUUAAACGCAGGCGUUUUUCAGAUUCUUUUUUUCCGAUAUAUGUUUCGAAGACAACAUUGUAUUAUUCCAAAAGGAUAAGAAUGGUGUAAAACAAUGUUAUCUUCUCAUCAGGGAAAGAAAGAAACCAAAAUCAUCAAUAAGACAUUUUAACAGAAUGCGAUGUAUCUGUAUAAUGAUGAACGGAAUACUAUUAAGUUGUUUUCUAAAAAACAUCAUAGGUAGCCUACAGAAAGAGAAGAGGGAAAAGAAAGAAAUAAGUAGAAAACUAAUAAAGGAGAAAUGUAGAGGGAUAUGUGAAUUAAAAUAAAAGCUUGAAGACUUGAUAAUAGAUAUAUCUAGUGGAAGUGAAAUGUAAGAAGAAAAUCAAUGUUCAAUUAUAUAGAAUCUUAGAAGUGACUUAUAUGAACUAAAUGUAUGAUUCUGCCAAUGUUUACAUUGAUUAGCACGCUCUAUAAACAUGUUUACAAGGAGAUUCUUAGAAAAUAAAAUAUAGAGGAACUCACUAUUACAGAGUUGGCAGAAUUCUUUGCCUUUAUCAUAUGGUAAUGAAAUGGAGAGAAUCAACCAAUAUAAAUUAAAUUGUUUAUUAUGAUCUUUUAGGUACCAAAUUAAUUUACUAAGCCCUGUACUAUUGCGUUUAUUACUAUCCCUAAAUGUAGAGUAAUGAUUAAAAAUUCUUUUAAAUAGCUGAGACGAACUUCCCAUAUGAAAAAGACAUCGGUACCGGAAGUAAUUUUACUCUGGUAUAUAGAGUUUUUAAUCUUAGAAUUACUAGACAUAAACUUAAUUCUGUUGAAAUUGACUUCAGAGAUAAUAACCUUGUUGCUAAUAUUACUAGGGGAAUGGUUAUUAUUAGCUAAAUUAAUGUUAGUAUUUUCAGUAAUUGCAUUCUUAUUUAACAGACUAAUAUUAUGUGAAGAGAUAAUUUGUGAAAGAUUUUUUUUGUGUGUUAGAAAAACUAACUCGUGUGCGAGUUGAUAAUCGAGUAAUACUUAGAAUUCUUUGGAAAGUUCUAAAUAAUAGCUUCACGGAACUGGAAAGGAAGAUUGCAUUUAAUUUGUCUCCCAUAAGGAAUAGUCAACCAAAUAGCUUUGCUAGUAGUUGCCUUAUUGUUAUUGUAACUAUCUUUAAAAGAAUUCGACUUACCUUUAGAAGGAAAAUGGGAUUUAAAUAACGGUUAACUCCCUUGCGCUGAAAAAGCUUUACUCUGUUUGGUGUUGGCAUCUAAAUUAAAAUCUUUCAUAUCGUUACAACUAGAUUUCAUGUCUCCAUUACUAAAUUUAGAGUAAGAUUGAAUAGAAUUAAGGUAGGUAACUUUAUCUAUAUAGCAAGCUUUAAGUAAGGCAGAAUUAUAAAAUUCAGCCUUGUCGUUGAAAAUGUCAAUAUUAGCAGAUAACUUAGACAAUCUGCAUGAAAGAUUUUUAACUAAAUUCUUAAUGAUGGCACUAGAAUGAUUACUGAAUUGGCUAAUAUACUUAAGAUUGGUUGAUGGUUUGUGGUAUGGGAAAUACGUAUUGUUGUAUAAGUUAAGUGUAAUAUCUAAAAAGUGGGCUUUCGUUACAUCCUCAUCAAUAACGAUGUCUAAGCCCGUUCUUCGGAAAAACUUAACUAAACUAUUCUUAACCUUUUGUACUCUUUGGUUAGAAACAAUUUGAAGGUAGAGUAAACCAUCAUCACGAUGUAGACCUCCAUUGAUGCUUGGGUACUGGUCUGCCAUUUCAUAAAGUAUAUAUAUAUAUAUAUACCGACCAAAUCAGCUAUUUGUGCUGAAUCAGGACUUCCCAUCGUGACAUCAAAACCAGCGGGUGUAUAUUUAGUGACCCUCAGCUUGUUAACAAAUUUUAAGAUAGAUUUUCUGGCGGCCAACAUGACAUUAAUCUCUUCCAUGGUGAGACCAGCUUCGUUGUGAGCUAAACCGGAGUGCCUUAUUAAGUACUAUUGAGUUGAUGGAGGAAUAGAAAUGUCAAACUGGAUAAUGGAAAUGUCAAACUAGAAAUGUCAAACUGGAUAAAAUUAGUGCUCUUCUUAUUAGUAAUACAGCCAUACCAGUCAACGACUUGGAAGGAAUUGGACAAUAAACUAAGAUUUAAUUUUUUAACUAAGGUAGGAAUAUAUUUAUCUAGAAUAUUUUUACUAAGUACAUCGAUGUCAGAUCUAGAAGGACAGAUAAGUCGUAAGGAUGGCUUAUUAAAAAUGUUUUUCUAUGAUAUUUUAAAAUAAAACCAGGUUGCUUAGGAUCAAGCGGUUCUGUCUUCAUCUGUAAGUCAUACUUCUCCAUAAUUUUCUUAGCCCCAAGGCUGGCUUUCCUGAGUGCACUUUUACCGGUAAUUCUAUUGUUCUUAUAAAAAUUUUAUGAAAUGAAGUUCCAGGUAAUAGUGCUUGGUAAGUUUCUACAGGUUUCUCGUUUUAUCUGACUGAACCAGUAUACUAUCCAUGCUAUGAAUUUCCAUGGUGAUAUUUUAUAUAGGUAGUUCUUCACAGUUAUGUAAAAGAAUUUCUAAUCAUUACUCUACAUUGAGGGAUAGUAAUAAACGCAAUAGUACAGGGCUUAGUAAAUUAAUUUGGUAUCUAAAAGAUCAUAACAAACAAUUUAAUUUAUAUUGGUUGAUUCUCUCCAUUUCAUUCCCAUACGAUAAAGGCAAAGAAUUCUGCCAACUCUGUAAUAUUCUAUUUUCUAAGAACCCCCUUGUAAACACGUUUAUAGAGCGUGCUUAUCAUUGACAGGAACAUAGCUUUAGUUCAUAUAAGUGAUUUCUACCAUUCUAUAUAUUUGCACUUUGUUUCUUCUUACAUUUCACUUCCACUAGAUAUAGCUAUUUCUAAGCCUAUAAGCUUAUAUUUUAAUUCACAUAUCGCUCUACAUUUCUCCUUUGUUAGUUAUCUGCUUAUUUCUUUAUUUUAUCUCUUCUCUUUCUGUAGGCUAGCUAUGACGUUAUAUCUACUAACGGUUUUUUAGAAAAAAUUAAUAGCGUCCGUUCAUCAUUAUACACAUACAUCGCAUUCUGUUAAAAUGUCUUAUAGAUGAGUUUGGUUUCUUUCUUUCCCUGAUGAGACGAUAACUUUGCUCUACACAUUUUUGUUCCUUCUGGAAUAAUACCAAUGUUGUCUUCGAAACAUAUAUCGGCAGUAAAAGAAUUUGAAUAACACUUGCGUUUAAUUCCAUUUAUUUAAUUAUAUAUAUUAUACAAAAUAUUUCACGUUAACCCGGAAUUUCUACCUUUAGAAACAGGAUGUUACGCUCUUAUUGUAUGACUUUUUGCUUCCCUCGUAACUCCUUAUUUAUUUUUCGUGUUAAUUGUAAACAAGGGAAAGCGCACACAUCUGCUUGGUCUUAUAUAUAUCUACCAACUUUGACCCUCCGCAGAAUCCCAGAUUUUAAGUAAUUGGCUUUGGUGGAUUAACUGUUUUGUUCAGGGCGUACCUUGUGAAUUGUUCGAAAUACGGAGUAGAAAAACAGCCGACAACUGACGGGGGUUCGUUCAUUAUGCUGCUUGUGUUGUUUUUCAUUUGUUUUCUUUCGUUCCAAUUUGUUUCUUUUGUUGCUCACAAAAAAGUUCGUAUUCCAUGUUUUCGUAUUUCGUAUUUCAAGUUGUUUACGUUCUGUGACGUCCUGUGCCCAUACGUGCAUAUGUAUAUACAUAUAUAUGUAUGUAUGUACAUAUACGCAUGUAUAUAUGCAUAUAUAUUAUUUAUAUUAUUAUAUAAUUGAACACCAUGCAUCUAUUUCCAAGUAUAUAUAUAUAUCGAUACAUACAUGUAUAUAUAUAUAUAUAUAUAUAUAUAUAUAUAUAUGUAUAACUGUAAUUACUCACAUAUGUACACUUGUAUAUAUAUAUAUAUAUAUAUAUAUAUAUAUAUAUAUAUAUACACAUAUGUAUAUGCAUAAAUCCAUACACACACUCAUAUAUAUACAUAGAUACACACGUAAAACCAUCCAUCCAUACAUACAAACAUACAUACAUAUGUACAUACAUACUUAUUUGUAUGCAUACACAGGGACAGGUGUCAUUGGAUAUUGAGAAUUGUGUUCCCAAGCACAUGGCUGUAGGUUGAGUCACACUCCGAAGCACCCUUGGUAGGCGCUUUCAAAUAGAACUCUGUACCGACCAAAAGGUUUUGAGUGGAUUUAGUGAGAGGGGUGGCAAACAGAAUAUAAUCCUAUAUAUAUGUAAGAUAUCUUCUGUUAGGCAUUCUUCAGAGAGACACUCAAAUAAUAUCAUUUGAUUCCUGCUUCAAGAAUUUUUAAUAGGAUGUAUCUUAUAUGAUUUCUACUACAUGUACAAUUUUGUAAUUCCUAUUAGGAAAUGAAUCACGUGUAUUGAACAAUAAAUAAUGCUAAAUGUAUUUUCAAAUUUUAUAUUUUCAAAUUGUUAUUCUGAAGAAAAUAUCGUCUAGUAUAUUUUAAAUUUUACGCAUUCCUCAAACAAUUAUAACAUUUCUAUAGAGAAGAUGUCCUUGAAGAUGUCACAGCUUGGAUUUUAAAAGAAUCUACUUAAUAUAUGUAUGUGUAUAUAUGUGUGUGCGCGUGUUUGUGCAUGUGAGAGUAUGUAUGCAUGUAUGUAUGUAUGUAUGUAUGUAUGUAUGUAUGUAUCUAUCUAUCUAUCUAUCUAUCUAUCUAUCUAUCUAUCUUAUCUAUCUAUCUAUCUAUUUAUCUCUGUCUUUCUGUCUCUUUAUAUAUAUAUAUAGGCGCAGGAGUGACUGUGCUGUAAGUAGCUUGCUUACCAACCGCUUGGUUCUGGGUUCAGUCCCACUGUGUGGCACCUAGAGCAAGUGUCUUUUACUAUAGCCUCGGGCCGGCCAAAGCCUUGUGAGUGGAUUUGGUAGACAGAAACUGAAAGAAGCCUGUCGUCUCUCUCUCUCUCUCUCUCUCUCUCUCUCUAUAUAUAUAUAUAUAUAUAUAUAUGUAUAUAUAUGUAUAUGUGUGUGCGUGUGUGUGUAUAUGUGUGUAUGUGCUUGUGUGUCUGUGUUUGACCCCCAGCAUCGCUUGUGUUUAUGUCCCCGUAACUUAGCGGUUCGGCAAAAGAAACCGAUAGAAUAAGUACUAGGCUUACAAAAAAUACGUCCUGGGGUUGAUUUGCUCGACUAAAGGUGGUGCUCCAGCAUGACUGCAGUCAAAUAACUGAAACAAGUCAAAGAGGAAAAGACUUUACGUAUAAAAUAGGUACAAGUAAUGAGGUUUGUACAUUUUAUGUGCAUUACAGAAUUUUCAGACUUACAGAAUUUUCAGAUAUGGGUGCAUCAAUGGUCGAAUCUUAUCAAUACCUCAAUGGAUCCAAUGAAAAUAUUGUGAACGACCGUUGGAAUGCAAUCUUCGUCAAAGUCUAACAAAUGCUGAAUUUAUAAACAAUUUAUAAGUAAGGGCAAAAGAAAAAUCUCUAAUGCCAAAAUAUGCCGAAGAUAUACAUAAUGUCAAUAACCAUGUAAUUUAUCACUACAAGCACGCGUUUCGAAGAAAGCCGAUUGAAAUUUCUAAAAAAAUCCCGUUAUUACCAUAUCGGACCCGAUUUCAGAGUUAGUUCAUAGGCACCUUCCCUUCAUCAGGCAAAGAAAUAAGUGAAAUACUUACUUAUACCCAUGAAAGAAGUGAAAACUAAGUCAUGAGCACAAUUAAGUACCCUAAAUUUAUCCAAAAUAGAAACUCUCUAGUCCAUCUCGAGACACGUGCGAUUCGAACUGAAAAACUCUCGUAAAGUGAUAGAAUUUUUUUCGAAAAAUUUUAUCCUACAUAAAUUUUGAUUUAAUAGUGUUCACUUCUGGACUGUCUCACUUUAAGAGAGUUUUUUUAGUUCGAAUCGCACGUGUCUCGAGCUGUGCUAGAGAAUUUCUAUUUUGGAUAUAUUUGGGGUACUUAAUUGUGCUCAUGACUUAGUGUUCACUUCUUCCAUGGGUAUAAGUAAGUAUUUCACAUAUUUCUUUGCCGCAUUUAUCACUGAUGAAGGGAAGGUUCUUAUGAACUAACUCUGAAAUCGGGUCCGGUAUGGUAAUAACGGGAUUUUUUAGAAAUUUCUGUCGGCUUUCUUCGAAACACGUGCUUGUAGUGAUAAAUUACAUGGCUAUUGACGUUAUGUCUAUUUUCAGCAUAUUUUGGCAUUAGAAAUUUUUUCUUUUGCCCUCACUUAUAAAUUAUAUAUAUAUAUAUAUAUAUAUAUAUAUAUAUAGUAUCAGUACUCUGCAAAGUAAGUACCGGGGUUAACUCGUUCGACUAAACUAUCCCAGGUGUUGCUCCAGCAUGGCAUCUGACCAAUGACAUUAGCAAGUAAAACGUGAAAGGCAAUAUACAUACAUAUAUAUAUAUAUAUACAUAUAUAUAUAUAUAUGUGUGUGUGUGUGUGUGUGUGUGUGUGUAUACAUGUAUUUCACUGAAAUACGUGAUGUCAAUACCUCAAACCUCGACAAAUUAAAAAGCUGAGAUGAAACUGUUGAAAUAUGAAAUAAAAAAAAUCACUACCUGUUUUCAAAGGACUCCAUCGAUGAGUAUAUUCAUUUGUUGCCAUUUUUUAGAUACCCCCAGCCCACUUCCCGCUAUUCAUUUUCAUCGGAAAAAUCAUUGUGUUGAAUUAAGAUUUUAUAUGUAUUGCCAAUGAUCAUAUCAGUAAUGCCUAUCAGACUACCAGAUCAACCUUUCACCAUUCCAUUUAUCUUUCAAAUAUUGACAUGUGGAAAUUGAAGUAAAAUGUACUUUAUUUUUAUUAUUAUUCUUUAAGUAUAUACAGAACGUGAAUGCACAUAUGUCUAACGAUAUAUUUCUCAUUAAUUGUCGCUUCCUCCUCUUUCUCCAACCAAACCCCAUUCUCCAUAGUAUUAGAAGAAUAAUAUUUAUAUUUUCCAUUCAAUAAUAAUAGCGAUAAAGAUGUAUGGGUUUUCACUUGGCACCUAUCCAACUUUAUUGGGGGCGGGGAAGGAAUAUGCCUGAAUUUAGCAAUUUUCAGUUCUCCACUAGUGUCAAUUCCAUAGACUCACGGGAGAAGGAAAAUCAUAAUGGUCUAUAGCAGAAUACAAAUAUGCACAAACACGUACUGGCAAACUCACUCAAAGCACACGUGUACAUGCGCGUAUAUAAAUAUUUCACAUGCACACAAACGACGGAGACACACAAACAGAGGAAGAAGGUGUGAAAUGGAAAAAAGUAGGGACAGGCACAUAUAAUCGUAGUUGUGUAUACGCAUGUGUAUUAAUGUGUAUGAAUAGUCCUCCGCAAUUUAACUACUUAAUGCGCUUACGUUCAGAGAGAAAAUCGAUGUUUGUGAUCACUUUGACGAUGGUGAUCAUCAUCAUAAUAAUAAUGGUUUAUGACAUAGGCACAAGACCAGAACCAUUUUGGUAAGAGUUUGUGUGACGUUUAUCGAUCCACAAGUGAUGACUUGACUCGUACUUUAUUUUAUCAACUACGAAAAUGUAAAAUGCGCAGCUGAUCGAACUCAGCGAGGUUUAACCAUAGAAUGUAAAGAUUUGGAAAAAAUGCCGCAAACCACUUGGACACUAACGAUUCUGUCGUCUCAGAACCCUGAGUAAUUACUUGUUUAAGCAAAAGUACGAUUAUUUUGGUAGAAGGGCUAAGAGGAAAUCAGCUACGUCAGUGCAUGAUCGCUAAUUUACUUUAUACACCGUCCGGAAAUAUGAAAAUCAAAGUUAAAUUUGGCAGGAUUCUCACUUCGAACGUAAUGAAACGGUAGAAAUAGAGUAAACUACUUUUUUCGACGCUCUAAACAUUUCACCAGCCCUCUGAUGAUGAUGAUGACAAUUAUAAUAAUUGUAAUAAUAAUAAUGAUGAUGAUGAGGCAUUGAGUUGAAUAUGACAUUGUGAGUUAUUUAGGUAGGUAACAACAAUUCAAAGCGAAUACAUGUGCAUGCAUACAUACAUACAUACAUGGUGGCUGCCCCCUCGUUAUCGAGUAUGGCUAUUGGUCGAAGCUUAAUCAAUGUUGUUAUCGUGCAAUACCUGUGCAACAAGAUUCUUUUAAAGUGAGGAAAGGCUGUGCACUGAGUCAAUCCCACUCACUAAGCAACAGCAGCCAUAAUCCGAAAAGAAGAGCAAGUCAACAUCAUCGGUAACCACAGAGCCGCAGGCUUUAUGUCGGAGUUAUCCCAGUUACCUGAGUUACCAUCUCCUAGAAGGAUGCCCUAACAAAGGCUAGGAGUCCUUCACUCCCAAUGGUUUAAUCGCGCGAUCGGAUAUUCAUUCCGAUUAUUUCUAUAUCCCCGCGCAUGAUACAGCCUUAAGACAUUUAUUGGAUGGCCGUUGACUCUCAAGAGUUCCUCCGUCCUUUGACGGGUUUUGUUUUUCAUCCCGCAGGGUGUCCAAUAAACACCCUCCUAACGAAGCAAGCUUGGUGGGGUUGCCGGUUUAGUCACCGACGACCCGACCAUGCAACAGGUUGUACUGGGUUACAUGUUACUAGUAGAACUCGAAAGUGACCUGACAUACACAUACAUACAAACAUACAUACAUACAUACAUACAUACAUACAUACAUACAUACAUACAUACAUACAUGCAUGCAUGACACACAUAAAUAUUUAAGUGCAUAUAGAUAUAUAUAAAUAUAUGCAUAUAUUAAUGAUAAAAAGUGAAGACGGAAUGAACUAAUAAAAAAAAAACAAUUGUCUAAUCUUCAAGAUGCGUUACUCCCUUCUGGGCGUGGUACGAUACAGCAACACCAGAUGCAACCCGCAAUACAUAGAAGGCUCUUCAGGUGGGAUAAUAAGGUUUUUAAACUGGGUGAUUUACAUUUGAGCUUAGCUGUAUUGAGAUAUUAUAACAGUUAAACAGACGCACUAAGAGAUACGCACAAUUUUUAAUCUUAUAUUUGACUUAUAAAUAUAUUCAUAUAUAUACAUCAAUCUUACUCUCACUUCUCUCUGUGUUCACUCUCUUCCCUCUCUCUCUCUCUCUUUCUAUAUAUAUCGCUUAGAGAUUUAUUAUUAUAUAUAUAUAUAUAUAUAUAUAUAUAUAUAUAUAUAUAUAUAUAUGUGUGUGUAUUAUAUAUAUAUAAGUACAUGUAUGUAUAUAAAUAUAAGUAUACAUCUAUGUAUAUCUACAUAUAUAGGUGUAUGUGUGUUUGUACAUACAUACGUGUGUAUAGACACACACACACACACACACACACACACACACACACACACGCAAUCACACACACGUUAGCAGAUAUACAAAUAUAUUCCUUUUGCUUUGUACAUACGAUAGCCUUAUCAACAAGCAGGCAUACGCUUUGGGCAAUGUAAUUUCUGACUUUUCUCUUUAUACGUUGUGAUAGAGACCACAACUAAAAUAGAGAAGUAAGAUAACAAAGAAUUCAUGGAGUCUAAUUGGCAUAAAAGAUUUCACAACAAAAGGUAUCGCAUUUGACCUUCAUGUUUUUCCUUGGAAUUCUGUACUCCUGACUUUCAACAGAAUGUGCAGUUGCUAUUGCAUUGAAGCCAACUAGGAAGGUUCUACGUCAUCAUCAAAUCUGCUAGCAAUAGCGGCAAUACCUGCUUCAGUUUAUAGCCGACCAAAUAAAUUUACUAGUUGGUCAUGGCUGGAAAUACAUUCAGGUGUGCUUGUUCAUGCCUGAUCUGUGGUGGAACGACAAUAAAUAUAGCAUUCUCAACCUUAAGAUAUUCGUUUCUUUUGGUUGAGAUGGUUUUAUGCUAAUGAAAAUCGUAGGAUAUUAGGGACAUGUUUUGCUGUCCUUUUGUUAUUUUAGCCACAGACCUGACAUAGGUUUUAAAGGAGAACCUAAAUUGCAUUCUAAAAUCAAAUUCUCACAAAAAUUACCAAGCAGAGAUGGGACCUUAGAUUGUUAGUAAAAGAAAAGAGUCAAACAAAACAGCAUCAUAUUAACAUUAGAUCUGUUCUGUCAAGAUGAAGACCCUCAAAGCACAACAGAGUAUAAACCCUAUGAAUAUAUUUGCUCUUUAUGGGCUCACGUGAUUUUAAACAACACACAAUUCGCACCCUAAAUCGUCUUUAAAAAAAUCAAAACCUGAUUAUUUGGAAUAUUCGAUCGCCUUGACGAAUGAUUAUUCACUUAGAAUAGAAUGGGGAGUUUAUAUCUCUAGUUUUAUACGGUACUGAAAUAGAAUUAUAAAUAUAUAGAACAAGUGUGAAUCGAACCUAUGCUUCAUACAAAACCAUAACCAUCAUGGUGAGGUCCCGACGCAAGACCUACAAGUGACGACAUCUCAUCAUUCACUUCUUAUAUGUUCUAUUGAUAGAUAAACGAGGGACACAUACGAUAAAGGGCCUCUACUCAUGUUUAUUAUAACUUUAAUUAUAUGCGCUUAGUCAGGGAUGGCCGUGGUUUAAACAGUUAUUACAACAACAAAUUUACUGGAAAUUUUGAUAUAUUCUCAUGUCACAAACUCAUAUAUACCUUUGUACCUGACGGAAUAAACCUCAGGAUAUCUUUAUAUAUAAAAGGCAAGUUGUGUGUCUGUCUCCUACGAUUUAGAUUCCUAACUACUCCCACAUUUUUUUGUGCAGUUUAACCAAAACCGGGUAUCUUAUAGUCAUGAUUCAUAUCGAGCCCUUCUGGGUAUUAGCGCGCGUCUACGAUGAGUCUACGAUUUAAAAAAAUGUUUACCAUAAUUUUUUUCCAGUUUAAUGCAUUUUCACUAUUAUAUAAGGGAAGUAACUCUCUAAAAAUGUCUACGAUGAGUCAACGAUUUAAAAAAAAUUUACCAUAUUUUUUUUUCCAUUUUUAAUGCAUCUUUUUGCUGUUUUUUGGCUAUAACUCUCUAAAAAUGCUUAUAUAGUUAUUUCCCUUACAAACCUGAGCAACGCCGGGCGAUACUGCUAGUAACUUAUAAAGAUUACAAUUGUAAGGCUCGUAGACCAUUAGAAGUAAAUGUUGUAACUGUUUAUUCUUCUAAUCAGUAAUCGGAUUUAUAAGCCAACAUUAGAUAUUGCUGCUGUGCCACGCAGACAUUCGUAUUGUCUUGCUACGCGGGAAUAUAUCUGCUUCAGUUCAAUAAUAUUUGUAGUUGUCUCCAACUAGAUUUGAAACUGGAACGAUGAGGAAGGAAUUUUCGCUUCAGAUACUUAUUAUAUUGGAAAAUAAUACCGCAGACUUGAUAGGGGCGACAUAUACAAGCAAGUGGUUAUUCUACAACAUUCAUGGUACACAUUCUUUUGAUACCAAUCGUAGAAAGUUGAAAAAAAUUGUUCUUAUCAAAAUGGGGAUCAAUAGUCAACGGCAUCCGAAUGCAAUAAAUGAUAUUAUUAUCAUUAAGGCGGCGAGCUGGCAGAAACGUUAGCACGCCGGGCGAAAUGCUAAGCGGUAUUUCGUCUGCCGUUAUGUUCUGAGUUCAAAUUCCGCCGAGGGGGACUUGCCUUUCAUCCUUUCGUGGUCGAUUAAAUAAUUACCAGUUACGCACUGGGGUCGAUAUAAUCGACUGAAUCCAUUUUUUCUUUCCUUGUUUGUCCUCUCUAUAUAUAGCUCCUUGUGGAUAGUAAAGAAAUAGGUAUUUUGGCUGCCGUUACGUUGUGAGUUCAAAUUCCGCCGAGGUCGACUUUACCUUUCAU